UGGGGAAUAUUGGACAAUGGGGGCAACCCUGAUCCAGCAAUGCCGCGUGUGUGAAGAAGGCCUGCGGGUUGUAAAGCACUUUCAGUGGGGAGGAAGGACUUGAUGCUAAUAGUAUCGAGUAUUGACGUUACCCAAAGAAGAAGCACCGGCUAACUCUGUGCCAGCAGCCGCGGUAAUACAGAGGGUGCAAGCGUUAAUCGGAAUUACUGGGCGUAAAGGGCGCGUAGGUGGUUAAUUAAGUUAGAUGUGAAAUCCCUGGGCUUAACCUAGGAAUUGCAUUUAAAACUGGUUGACUAGAGUGUGGUAGAGGGAAGUGGAAUUUCCAGUGUAGCGGUGAAAUGCGUAGAUAUUGGAAGGAACACCAGUGGCGAAGGCGACUUCCUGGACCACUACUGACACUGAGGCGCGACAGCGUGGGGAGCGAACAGGAUUAGAUACCCCUGUAGUCC
rnacentral:rRNA from 1 species